GGGAGAACAGCUCAGAAUAACCUGUCACCAGAGCUCCCCGAGAGGGAAAACUGAAAUCGUGAGGCAUAUUUAAACUUGUUCAUAAAAGACUUUCUUAGAUUGCCAAGAUGAGACUGCUGGGGCCACAGAGCCUGCGGGUGACCGACCCCCUGGGUGAUAGAUGCAACUUCCAAGGAGCACAAAGAGAGCAAGGAAAUGGAGCCCUUUCCAGCAAGACCCCAGAGACGGCUGCUUCCAUUGAACACUCUUGGAAUCACAGAGAUCGCUCAUAGGCCUUCAGGCCUUUCCAGGCUGCCUUAGGCCCGGGCGUCCCCAUUGGAUCUCUUGGGCAUCUUGUCUGGGAGCAAUCAACAUAAUUCCUUCAUCUAUCAUCUUCCCAGGGCACAAACCCCAUGUCCCAACAACAAGGCUUCUUACUGGAAAAGAGCAAGUUAUGUAGGGUUAUCUGUUCCUCCCUCCUCCUCUUUUGCCCUUCUUUUCCAAAGACUGGAAAUCUGGUUGCCGUGGUGCAAAGGAUUCUGGGAAGAACAGGAAUGACAACAUUGCAAAUGGACAACAGUGAAAGGGGAAAUGGAGGAAGCGCUGCUCUCGAAGCUUCGCCUGUGGCUGGGGCGCCUACACGCACUGUGAGACUUCUGCACUCCUGCUUUUCUGUACCGGAUUCCUGAUCGGGACUUCCACUUCCCCAAUGCAGACCACUUCACCAGAUUGUGUUUUUGGUUGACUGCCACGUCUUCCAGAUCCUGUGUUAUACCUGCUGGGCUGGACUUCCGACGAGCUGCUUCAGCUCGAGCUGUUCCCCCAGCGCCUGACUUUGCUCCGUGGGUAGAAUUCCAGAGCUUGCCCCACCCAGUCUGCCCUGUUCCUCCGCAGUGAAUUGAGCCACGCUCAGCCUGACUGUAGCAAGUGUACGUGCACGUCGUCUUGCUCCAUAUUAGCCUAAAGGUCGAAAUGGAGACGUAAGACUACACGUUUGCAAAAUCAUUUCAUGUACAUGGUUCUAAGACAUAAAACUAUGUAAAAGAUAUUUUAGAAACAAAACACCUCGCAACUACCACACAUCGUAUUUUUAAAAGGCUUAACACACCCAAACAUCCGGGUGCAGGGGGAGCCUCUCCCCUCCCUCUCCCCACUGUGGACCAGUAGAUAAUAUUUAGAACACAUUUUUGGUUGUCUUAGCAGCCUCAAAUGACCUUUCUUUCAGUUGAAGCAAUUGAAGCAAAUAUCCAAAAGAGAAGUCAGGUAGGAAGUAAUGUUUAACCUUAACUUGUUAGUUCAGUAAACACUUUUGGAAGAGUAUGCCUGUGCCUGCCAACAGACUGGCUGUAUCUUUCAUGGCCUCACAAAAGUGUCAGGAGCUCAUCUGUUCUGAAGUCCAAGUCUGUCAACCCAGUCGCCACCGAAAUCCAGCUCCUGGAGCAUUACUCAACAGGAAAGGGGUUACGAUCAAUGGGUGUCCAAGGGAGACUGUGGAGUAGAAAAGCUUGGGGUGCAGACCUUAGACCUUCGCAUGAAUCCCGGUGCAGCCACCCCCGAGCUGUGCUGCACAGGCAAACACAGCUCCUCUUGGAGGACUGACUGUUCCUGGGUCAAAUGGGGUAACCAGGUUGCAAGAAACGAAUGAAGUCACUCGAAUGAAGUCACUCGGGAUCUAUAAACUCCUCUCAACCUUAAACUGCAUUCAGCAUCAGAAUGAAGUUCUCAAUCCAAGCUCAAAGGUAUUUUCAAGGAAGUUCCCUCAAUUUACUAAAACUAAAUUUAGAUCGACCCAGGAUUGCCCCCUAGCGGUCAUCUCAAAAUCUCUGAAAAAAAUACUGAAUUCACAAAUUCAUUUUUUUCCUAUG